rnacentral:rRNA from 1 species
UACAUGAGUAGUAAACGUUAAUCAUAGUUGUUGGGUGUAAAAAAUACUUAGAUUGCGCACAAAAACUUUUCUGAGAGCUUUUAGAAUGGAAGAUUGCGCCGAAAAUUACAAAGUUCCCUCGUUUUUAGUUUUUAAAGAUAAAAUUUAAUCAGAAACUAACUAACGGCCGCUUUAUGAAGAUAUGGCAACUUGUAAUUUUGACGUUUAGGUAUGAAAGUAUAGAACGCGAAAAGGAUUAGAGACCCUUGUAGUCUAUACUGUAAAAGAUAAGUGCUAGCGGACGUCCAAAACCGCUCAACUAACGUGCAAGCGCUUUACCUGGGUAGUAAAACCGCAAGGUUUAAACUUAAAAAAAUUGGCGGGACUUAAUUUAACGGUGGAGCAUGUGAUUUAAUGCGGUAAUCCUCGCAAAAUCUUACUAGUAUUCGCGACCGCACAAGGCGUACUUAAGUUUCGCCCCUGUAGCGGCGUUAGGCACUGCAUGGCUGUCGUCAGUUCGAGUUUUAAAGAGUAAAAUUUAGUUUUUAUAUCGAACGCAACCCUCAAAUCCGCACUCAUUAAUUAAAGCGGUUUAGCGUUACACCAGCCUUUUAGACGUUUUGCGUAUAAAAGCAGGCGGAGUAAGGCGCGACGAGGAUGAGGUCAAGUCUUUAUGAUCUACAAAUACUAGGCUAUACAUUUGUUACAAUGGGAAAAACAACGGGCUUUGUAUCUUCAACGAGAAAAAAACCCUAAAAAUUCCCCCAGUGCGAAGUAUUUUUUUAAACUUAAAAAUAUGAAGCCGGAAUCGUUAGUAAUCGCAUAAUAGUAAGGUGCGGUGAAUAACAACAUUAAGUUUGCACACACCGCCCAUCACGCUCGGAUAGUUGUCUGCACCCAAGGGUCGCUGAUUACAAAAUCUUAAUUGGAAACGCCAGCUGUGUACAUCAUAAGUUUUCAGGUACCACCAAGUGUGGGGGGUGAUUUGAGUGAAG